AGCUUAACCUGGACCGGUUCGGACUGAAUUUGGGGGUAACAGCUCAAACGAGAUUUGGAAGAACAUGACCUGAAAGUCUCCUUCAACGAACUAUGACAAAUAAAAUGAUGGCCAUAAUGAGCCUCAGAGGAAGAAGUGGGAAGGUUGCCUUCAUGAAGACUCAUCUCUACAAGAUAAUCUGUGACGCUGUCUUGAGCUCAUAUGAUAAAACUACAACAAAAGUAGACAAAUACAUGGCCAAAUACUUGAUAUAUGCACCAGAGAGGACGGGUGGCAGUGGCAGAAAGAAGUAACAAGAAGGGAAGAUUUAACCAGCAGUGUUCAAUGUUGCCCAAUGUUUGGGCCAUUUUUCUAAAGGUUAAAGUUCGACACGUGUAAAAUUAUCUUGCGUGAAAUGUUGGCACACUUGCAGCUAUGUAAUAAAUCAUGUUUCUUACGUCA